UGAGGAAUAUUGGGCAAUGGGCGCAAGCCUGACCCAGCAAUACCGCGUGUGUGAAGAAGGCCUGAGGGUUGUAAAGCACUUUCAAUGGGGAGGAAAAAGGCAAGUUUAAUACGCUUGCCCUUGACAUUACCCAUACAAGAAGCACCGGCUAACUCCGUGCCAGCAGCCGCGGUAAUACGGAGGGUGCGAGCGUUAAUCGGAAUUACUGGGCGUAAAGCGUGCGUAGGCGGCCUGCCAAGUCAGAUGUGAAAGCCCUGGGCUCAACCUGGGAACGGCAUUUGAAACUGGCAGGCUCGAGUUGGGUAGAGGCAGGCGGAAUUCCGGGUGUAGCGGUGAAAUGCGUAGAUAUCCGGAGGAACACCAGUGGCGAAGGCGGCCUGCUGGGCCCAAACUGACGCUGAGGCACGAAAGCGUGGGUAGCAAACAGGAUUAGAUACCCAGGUAGUCCCUGAGCGGGCUGGCAAGGCGCAU
rnacentral:rRNA from 1 species